rnacentral:rRNA from 1 species
UAUACAUGCAAGUCGAACGAACUUCCGUUAAUUGAUUAUGACGUACUUGUACUGAUUGAGAUUUAACACGAAGUGAGUGCGAACGGGUGAGUAACACGUGGGUAACCUGCCCAGAAGUAGGGGAUAACACCUGGAAACAGAUGCUAAUACCGUAUAACAGAGAAAACCGCAUGGUUUUCUUUUAAAAGAUGGCUCUGCUAUCACUUCUGGAUGGACCCGCGGCGUAUUAGCUAGUUGGUGAGGUAAAGGCUCACCAAGGCAGUGAUACGUAGCCGACCUGAGAGGGUAAUCGGCCACAUUGGGACUGAGACACGGCCCAGACUCCUACGGGAGGCAGCAGUAGGGAAUCUUCCACAAUGGACGCAAGUCUGAUGGAGCAACGCCGCGUGAGUGAAGAAGGGUUUCGGCUCGUAAAGCUCUGUUGUUAAAGAAGAACGUGGGUAAGAGUAACUGUUUACCCAGUGACGGUAUUUAACCAGAAAGCCACGGCUAACUACGUGCCAGCAGCCGCGGUAAUACGUAGGUGGCAAGCGUUAUCCGGAUUUAUUGGGCGUAAAGCGAGCGCAGGCGGUCUUUUAAGUCUAAUGUGAAAGCCUUCGGCUCAACCGAAGAAGUGCAUUGGAAACUGGGAGACUUGAGUGCAGAAGAGGACAGUGGAACUCCAUGUGUAGCGGUGAAAUGCGUAGAUAUAUGGAAGAACACCAGUGGCGAAGGCGGCUGUCUGGUCUGCAACUGACGCUGAGGCUCGAAAGCAUGGGUAGCGAACAGGAUUAGAUACCCUGGUAGUCCAUGCCGUAAACGAUGAUUACUAAGUGUUGGAGGGUUUCCGCCCUUCAGUGCUGCAGCUAACGCAUUAAGUAAUCCGCCUGGGGAGUACGACCGCAAGGUUGAAACUCAAAAGAAUUGACGGGGGCCCGCACAAGCGGUGGAGCAUGUGGUUUAAUUCGAAGCUACGCGAAGAACCUUACCAGGUCUUGACAUCUUCUGACAGUCUAAGAGAUUAGAGGUUCCCUUCGGGGACAGAAUGACAGGUGGUGCAUGGUGUCGUCAGCUCG